AUACGGGCAAACACAUCAAAGCAGUUAUGAAAAUGAAAACAAUGAAAGUAAAUAAGCCAUUAUAAACCAUUAUAAACCAAUAGAUACUCGCAGAAAUCAAGAGACAAGAAACUAUAGAGCAACAUAACUCCUCGUAAGAAAGGAUAAACGCAACUACUUACUAGCCUUCUACCCUAAUAUGAGUCCUCCAAACUCUCCUAUCUAAGGUCAUGUCCUCGGUAAGCAGGAAAUGCGUCAUGUCCUGUCUAAUCACUUCCCCCCAAUACUUCUUCGGCUUACCUCUACCUCUUCUGAAACCAUGACUGGCCAACCUCUCGCACCUCCGCACUGGGGCAUUUGCAUCUCUCCGCAUCACAUGCCCAAACCAUCUCAGCCUCGCUUCCCGCAUCUUGUCUUCCACUGAGGCUACCCCAACCUUGUCUCGGAUGACUCAUUCCUAAUCCUAUCGCUCCUAGUGUGCCCACACAUUCAACACAUCAUUCUCAUUUCCGCCACUUUCAUCUUCUGAACAUGAGAUUUCUUGACUGGCCAACACUCCGCCCCAUACAACAUAGUCGGUCUAACCACCACUUUGUAGAAUUUGCCUUUAAGUUUCGGUGGCACCUUCUUGUCACACAACACUCCAGAGGCAAGCCUCCAUUUCAUCCAUCCUGCACCAAUACGGUGUGUGACGUCAUCAUCAAUCUCCCCAUUUCCUUGUAUAUGUCCAAUCAGAAGAAUGAGUAAAAAAUUAUUGUAACCGGAAAUAAAGCAUAACAAUAGUUUAAAAAAAAAAAAAAAACCCCCUUUUAGCAAGGCUAUGAGCAUCUGUGGCCAGUGGCCUGACCCCUUCUCGCUCUAACAUGAAUAUAAUCUUUUUGUGGCUUUGAAAGGUUCUGAUCAUCAUUAUUUUUGUUUCUGCUUUCCAUCCCCUGCUUUUGCAUCACUUCUAUUAUGAUAUUCUAUUGCUUUUGUAGCAUCUUUAUCAUUUUCAAUUUUUCACGAGGCUUGCAUCUUUUGGCAUUUGAUUCAUUAAUUUCUCUUGAAACUCGCAGAGAAUUAUAUAACAUCUAUUUCAGUUUUUAGUUAUGGUAAUUAGAUAAGUUACAACAUGCUCAAGUAACUUAAGCUCUAUAUAUAAUCUAUAAUCAUAUAUAUAUAUAUAUAAUGGCCUGCCAUGUGGCGCUCUAAAAAAAUCAGGAAUUGCAUUUAUCUUUUUCCACAAUUUUUGGCAACUUUCCCUAAUUUCCAGCCUUUUUAAAAAAAAAAAAAAAAAAAAAACAAAGCGUCUCUACAAAGAAAAGCCCAAUAAUCACUUCUUAAAUCCUCAAAUUCCCUUGAUUUGGUUCGAUCGUCACUUCCAAUUCCUUCUCUCCCCGGCUGCCGCUUCAUCCUCUUAAUUUAGGAUUUAGGCCUUCCUCUCUUACCCAUUUUUCUUUCCACGUCAAUUUGAGAUUUAGGAUUAAAUCCUCCAAUUAUUCUUCAAUGCUUUUUGUUACCCGAUCAUGGCCAUCGUUUUUACCGUUUUGUACUAUACCACUGUGGCAUACUAUUAUUCAUUCAAACAAGUAUGGUGUUGUUCCUGAUUUUAAGGUUAAUGGAAGUUGAAUACUACCCACCCAAGGAAAAUGUGAUUCUCCAGAAUGAGGCUCCAACAGAUUUGUAUGUCAUAGUCUCAGGAACAUUGGAUCUGCUAGCAGAUAUCCUUGGACAUGAACACUCAACAAUCCUUUUAUCCAUUUCAAAUAUAGAAUUCAUAUACAUUAACCUUACUUAUUUUUUGUGAAACCUGUCCACAAACAGAUCCCUGGCGAAAGCUACUCGCGAAGGUAAAUUACCUCUUUCUCCGUUUUUCAGAUUUGUUUGGUUAGUAUUUCCUGUUUCUAGGUAUCCAUUGUUCUCAAAUUCUGCCCGGAAUUUAGAUUCGUUGCAGCACUUAUAAAUUGUAAUAGUUUGGCCCGUCGUUUCUCUUUAAACUGUAGUAAUUUCUGAAGGAAAAAUUAGUUAAGCAAAUCUAAUGCUCUAAACUUACACUCUAUGCUCUCAUUUUUAAUCCAGUGUCUAUCAUACAUAUCCUACUAUAACCCCCGCUUCUUACUCCACACAUACCUUCUUAUUGAUCUAUAUUUGUCUUUUUUCCCUGAUUUUUUGUGGAUUAGACUUUUUUCUCCUAAUAUUUAUAUUUAAACUUAUUUUUUAAAAUCUAAAAAAUGGUUAAAUGCGUUACUUAAUUGAACGAAGAAGAUUCCUAGGAACAUGAAAUAUGAAAAGGCUUUAGUCUUCUCCAGCCUCUUCCUUAGAAUUGUAACGGUAGAAAGUUAAUUUUUUUUUUUUUUUGGUUGAACAGACAUUUCAUUAAUUAUUAGUUAUAUCAUUGGAUUUAAUUAAUGUUUAAAACGGAUCUCAUUGAAUCAAAGGAGCAGAAGAAAGCCAUGAGGGGAGGAGACUUCUUCUAGGUUUCUGAAUACCAGGCAUAAGAAAGUCUCUUCCUUUUCUUUUUCCUUUCACCAGCUUUCCUCCAUUAUGAGUUGUAGUUUAGUUCUUGAACUUUGGGAAGAGAGAAAAUACAGAAGGAACAUAAAAAUAGGAUCUUUAGGUGGUGAAUUCUCAGCACAAAAUAAGAAGGUAGUGUUAUCCAAGAAUGAUGGGUUUUCAUAUUUCAUCCUUCUGAGAGAUGGGGUCAUUCUUCUACUUACUCUAAUGGCUUUGUGUAUGUUUUCAGGGUAAGUUUGAGAACAUUCUUUCAUGAAUUGUUUAAACUAAUUUUUCAGCUCAUUUAUAAGUCUUUUUGGUUUCUAUAUUUGCUUAUUGAAAAAUAUUGCUUGAAACUAUUUCUCAUUUUUCACGUCUUUUUUGUACUUUCCUAUUGCAGAACUGAAUUUUGUGGAUUGAAAAAAAUCUGAGACUUAAUUCUUUCAAUUUACAGUAUCGUUAUUUUUGGUUAUUAGCAACUACUCUUUCUAAAGUUGCCGAAAGCUAACAAAUGCCCAAAAAGAGUAAAAACCACGUGAGAAGCUGUUGAAAUUUGCAAGCUUUUGGGGUUAAGUUAAGCAAGAGAGAUAAACUAAGAGAAAGAUCAGAAAUUUAAGGGGUUGGCUCGGCAUGAGCUCUGAGUUCCUCAACCUUUUAGUUGUGUGACUGAAGCUGUCUUUUUGUUAUUAUGUCGUAAACUAACAUGGCUCCCACUCUGUAGUAUGCAAUUGUCAGUGAUCGAUACAUCUUUGUAUAUUUUUUUUUUUAGCUAUUUCACAAUUAUAUAUAUUUUUCUUGGUUCGACGGUUUGUUCAUUUUCAUGGUUUUGCAAUUCAUCUCCAAUCACUCUUCUAGAUUGCUGAUUUGUUGGCUAAGCAAUCAUUGCUUAAUUCAAAUCAUUUUGUAGCCUCUGUUGAAUUUUUAUUUUUUUUAAUUGUUGAUUCUUUUUAAAUGGUAAGUUUGAUGAAUAUUCUGACUGGAUACAAAAAUUGUUAUUAUAAUAAAAUGACUAUCGUGAGGGUGAUAAGAGCUUUUGAGAAGGGAACAAUAUCAACAUUUUCAACCUCCAGUUAAUAAUCUCUCUCUCUCUAUAUAUAUAUAAUUGCAGGACAUAUGGCCGGUGACGUGUCGCUCUGCUAUGCCAGGAUUAGGAUUCAUCUUUUACCCUCUUUUUUUUUGCUGUUUUCCAGAAUUAAUUCAUGUGAUGUGCGUUAAAAAAAAUUAUUGAAGCGUCACGUCUCUUAAUUGUCCCACAAAUACAUCUUUUCCCUCACUUUCACUGUUUCAGGUCUGUUUCACUGAAUUAAACGCCUUCCUCUUUCUUCAACUUUUAGAUUCUCACUUUCCCCAAGUUUUUCACUCUCCUGUCUCUAUACCUAUGUACGUUCCCCUUCAUUGAUCUUCUAUGCCCCUCUGAUCACCAUUCCCCGCUUUAAAAGGUUUUAUUGAGGAAAGGCUUUCUUGCCGAACUAUCGCUUAAUUUUCCCUAUUCUUUUACCAAGUUACCGUUAGGGUUGUUUUCAGUUCUUUUUUCCCCGCAGCUUCAGUUCUAAUGGCACAGAAUGCAGUGAAGAAACCAACAUAGGAGGUACUCGCCGAGGAAAAUAUCCUCUUUCGACAUUUAUUUGGUCUCCAAAUGUAAAUUCAAUUAGUAACCAUCCAAGCAACAAUGAAGGAUUUGCCAACGUGAGACACUGGUGAAAUAGGGAACAGUCCUACAGUAAAAAGUUGCAGAGGCUAUUAAAGCUUUACAAAAUGUGUGACAAGAAACAAAGAAAUCUUAUUAGCUUUUGUUGAAAGAAAAACCCAUGAUACCAUUGGAGCAAAACUCAAUUAGUAAAGUAAAGAAGGUGCUAUGGAAAAUGCUUAUAAGCAUCACAUAGCCUAAGCAAGUUAAUGUUCAUCAUUCUGUUUCUGAUCCGUGUGUAUAUUAAUUUUUAAGUUAACAAAACUAUUAGGGGUGCACAAAGUAAACCGACAAAUCGCAUCAAACCGAGAAAAAAAUCCGAUUAGUGGUUUGGUUUGAUUUGGUUUGGUGUUGAAAAAAAAAACCCGAUCAUAAUUGGUUUGGUUUGGUUUUAGCUAAAAAAAGUCAAACUGAA